rnacentral:misc_RNA from 1 species
AUAUAUAUAUAUAUAGUAUAGACCGUUCGAAUACCUUCUCGUUACUCACGAUAACCACUCCCAUUAUACCUGUGGUGGCACUCGACCUCGGAAAUUCCCAACGGUUUCGCGGCACAAAGCGCUUUAUCCUAAAAGCGCUAUGCCGACAAGCCUUAUGUGCCAUCGAUAUCCCUACGGCUCUUUCGCCGAAUUUUCGGGAGUACGCAUACGCGGCAAUCGUCGCGGACUUCUAACAAACGCGCGCGAUAUCGAUUGCCAACAAAGAAAAGAAUCGGCGUGGCUUUUGAAUAAAAGAGAUUCAGUCUGCCCCGAGCUGCGAAGUGCGAAAGAUUACGCGAAGCGAACGUAGAGAGACGAGUAGUCGACUUCCGAUAACCAUCAUUAAGCAUUGCUGUUAUCAAGCGUUGUUAAUCGUUAACUGUUGUCAAUCGUUGCUUGUUGUUAAUUGUUAUUUGUCGUCACUUGUUAAAAA